GAUGAAGAACGCAGCGAAAUGCGAUAAGUAGUGUGAAUUGCAGAAUUCAGUGAAUCAUCGAAUCUUUGAACGCACAUUGCGCCCGCCAGCAUUCUGGCGGGCAUGCCUGUUCGAGCGUCAUUUCAACCCUCGACCUCCCCUUGGGGAGGUCGGCGUUGGGGACCGGCAGCACACCGCCGGCCCUGAAAUGGAGUGGCGGCCCGUCUGCGGCGACCUCUGCGUAGUAAUACAGCUCGCACCGGAACCCCGACGCGGCCACGCCGUAAAACACCCAACUUCUGAACGUUGACCUCGAAUCAGGUAGGACUACCCGCUGAACUUAAGCAUAUCAAUAAGCGGAGGA
rnacentral:misc_RNA from 1 species